UUAUAUAGUUUAAUGUAAAACAUUACAUUUUCAAUGUAAAAAUAAAUUAAUCAAUUUUAUAAA
rnacentral:tRNA from 1 species